UGGUUUCCCUGGUAACUGAUGAGCCAACCUGACGUCAGUUCCUCCUAUAAAUGGUAGCUUCAUUCUCCCUCGAGUCGGGAAGAUUGCAGCAGUGCCUUGCCUGUGGGGUGCCGUGCACAGUGGGAUGUCACUCCAGGACCUUUUGUUUCAGACAGGAAGUGGACCAAGAUGGGUUUGUCAACCAGACAUGAAGUCAUGGGACUGCACUGUGUGAGAGAUAGGUAGGCCCCCGUGUCGUGACUGUGUAAGUGCCCGCUGUGAAGCAUGUCCUUCCAGAGUCAAAGAACGGUCCCCGAACCUUCAGCCUAUUAACUUGCAGUUCCAGGCCCAGCGAUCUAUAACUAACUGCAGAGGCCACCACAUGUGCAGGGUUGAAGUGUUACCUCCUAAGUUCCAUGUGUCCUUCAAAAUCUGUGAUGGUUAUGUGGGUGUAUCUGACUGUCAAAAUGGAACCAACGGAACACUAAAGCAACGGGCAUUUUAUUACAUACAAUGUACACUAUCACUGAAAAAAAUCUAAAUGGACUGUCUUCAGAAAUUUGGAGUUCCAUACCAGUGGAAGUCUUCAAGCAAAGACCAAGAGACAGAAUCACUAAACAACUGGACUAGAUGCCUGGCUUUUGAGUUUCAGAAUGCACUGGAAUCAGAGCUCGUAAAUGUACAAAAUCAAAGUAGCCCAACUCCCAGAGACUCACUUAAUAAGAAUAAGACGGGACUCGGGUACUUUUAUUUUUAAUUGGCACCCACCUCAUAAAAUUCUGAAAAAGAUGGAUAAAUCACUGACUCCAAUUCAAGAAGCAACAAAGGAACAGUAAGGAGUAACCACCAUUCACCAUUCUCAAUACUACCUGUUUCUAAAUUUUAAGAGGGAAAUCAUGAUGAGAAAUAUUGACUGAUGUGUUCUAUAGAUGGACACAUUUCAGUAUAUUACUAUAAAACUAUAUUAAAUCAAUAUGUUUUACUCAUUAUUUUCAGUGAAGACAAUUUAAAGUUUCUUCUCUUUUGUUUCCCAUACCCAGUUAUUUUAUAUAUUUGAGAAAGUUACAUAAUCUUCUCUUAACAAAAAAGAAAUCACUACCAGUUUUUCAGGAAACAGCAAACAAAAAGGCGAGUAAACCUGUAAAGACCUAUUAAACCUACACACUCUCAGUUUAUUUAUAAAUAAGUGGCUUCUACUACACACAUGCCCCCUUGAUAUCUAUCAGGCUGCAUAUUAUCAUUUCAUGCUAAUUACUCUAAUUUUAGUAGCAUUCUCCUGUAAGCCCAAAGCCAAAAAAAAAAAAGUUUAGGGCCAAAAACGAUUGUUGGGGGUAUUAUCUUUUCUCUUUGUGAACCUUACUGAUACCUGUUUUGUAUACAUAACCCCAGAACACAGAGGUAGGGAAGGUUAACUACCUGGAAGGUAACCUGAGCUAUCUUGAAGAAGUAGUACUUGGUGACAGGUGGACACAGGGGAAGUCAUUCCAAGUAGUGGAAAGAGCACACACAAAGGCGUAAGAGGAGGAAAUACUACUACAAGGAUUGUAGAUUUGGUAUAAUGAAAGUUGUGUUUUGGGGAGUGAAAACGACAGGGACACUAAACGAGUAGAAGCAAUGAAACAAUAUGAUAAAAAUCAGAUGUGCUAUAAUUCUCACUCUUGCGGCAUUGUGAAAAGUAAAUUCGAAGGAGUAUGGCAGAGAUAAGACGUGAGGCAGACAGCUUUACGGUUCAAGUGACAAAUGAUAAGGCUCUACGCAAAGGCAGUCCUGUGAGAGGUGAAUAGAAGGUGAAUAGAACAAAAUCGCAAAGAUUUUUAUGAGAUUGAAUAUAAAUAGUGAAGGAUAUGAAGGAAUCCAAAAUGAGAUGGAAUGAACAGUAAGGUUCUGAAAUGCAAUGCAAUAGCAGAUGUGGUGUGCACAGAUAAGGGGAGAAAAUAAAGAUUAGUCUUGAACACACUUGUAUUUGUUAUUGUAGCCAUCCAGGUCCAGAAAGCUGUUAGAAACUGAGACAAGAAUUUAAGAAAUGAGGUCCCUACUAUCAACAUAGUGUUUAUGGGAAAGGUUUUCUGACGAAAACAAAGGAUGACAGUCAAUUCACUAGCAGGGACGAGUGCUAUGGUCGAAAACAAAGAGAGGAGCAUCCUUAGCCCAGGAGAGGAGCCUAAUGGAUUUCACUGAGUUUAUGGUGCUUACUUCUCUCCUAGGUGAAUAUCCUCAUUUAGAAAGCUAAUAGGAUUUCUACAAGGGCAGACUCAACAAAUGACAAUGCAGCUCACAUUAAAACAUUAAUCCUGAUAAACCAUGACAACAGACUGAUUCUCAACUGAACAGGAAAAAAAAAAAAAAGGAAGAAAGAAAGAAGAAAGCUUGAAG